rnacentral:lncRNA from 1 species
GUGAGUGCCUGUUUAAUUGACUGAUUGAUACUGUGGUGUGGAGGUGAGGGUUAGACGUAAAAGCGUUAACAAAUAGAGACACUUAACGGCUAAUCCGGGCCAGCACAGACAGCUCUGCGCGGGAGACAACUUCCCCCUCCGCAAGACGGGAGAGCAGCAGUGGUCUCACAUGCAUGCUGGGCUGGUGAAGACGGGAGACUCAGAUGUGACUCCCCAAAAUCUAGCCUAUUUAUGAUUGUUCACUAUUUCAGGUAGGCUACUAUAUCCAGACUGGAAGCAAACUAGUAAUUUUCAAAACUAAAAUAAACAAUGAUAUAGAUAGUUAGUCGAAUCUAAAGUAGCAUUGUGUUAAAAGCUCAGCCUAAUAACAAUAAUAAUCCCAAUAAUAUUGGUUUGUUACAAAAACACAUCCAAAAUCUAACAAACAAUCAUAUACUUUUUCUAAAACUAAAACAUUUGACGGCCAAAUAUAUGGCGUUAUAGACGAUGACAUACCUCAAGUGUCUUUGCCCAGUAGUUCAGUAUUCUUUCAACAGCCAAAGCGUGAGCAGUCUACCCAGGUGUGAGAUCACUCUCCAGGCGUUUGUUCCAGUAGCGCACCGAGCCGGGGACCGUGGAAGCAGCACUACACAAACAACCUCGACCGAGGGAACUGACAGAGGGAGGGAGGGAGCGGAGGAGGUGUGCAUCUCUCUGUGUCCGAAAGGGUGGAAGCAGUGGACAAUACAGUACCUCCUAACCACUGACCCAAGGCCAAUCCCAGGUGCCUUAUAACACCAACAGGGUUGAAUCAGUAGUGUGGUCACUGAUCCUAGAUCUGCGCUUGAGAUGUGGUUCCGGGGUCUGGUAGGCAUUCUGCCAGAGAGUAGUGGUGGAGGGGGAGGAUGGAUAACUGACCUACAGCAUUCCCAUUGAUUGAGGUAAUUAAUAUAAGUAGAGCAAGGGAAUUUUAGCUCACUUUUCACUGUAUAGAUUUGCUGUCUCCUUAUAUUUUGUAUGUUUUAUGUCUUUUCAAUGCAAUGUAUUUUUUCCCCGUCAGAUCAUGACAGCUAAUUUGGUAUAAG